ensembl:lncRNA
GUUCCCUCAAGCCACCCUGGGAUUUUUCCUCCCCUUUAUCAUCAAACAUCUCCAGCAGAUGAUUGGAAUCUGUGGCGUACCUUCCCACGUACCUCCCAACUUCAGCCCUGCAAAGACAGGCUCUCAACAUGGGAGGCUGGAAAAGCAAUGCCUUCCCAGUAUACAGAAGUGCCAUGAGACUGAGUCUGACCAAUAAGAUUUAAGAGCAAGUCUGCUGACUCAUCUAUUAGAAAAAGAGUCCCUGGACUUUCCUGGUGACGCAGUGGAUAAGAAUCCGCCUACCAAUGCAGGGGGCACAGGUUUGAUCCCUGGUCCAGGAAGAUCCCACAUGCUGCAGAGCAGCUAAGCCCAUACUCCAGAACUACUGAGGCAGAGUUCUAGUUCCCUCAAGCCACAACUACCCAAGACCCCAUGCUGCAACUACUGAAGCCCAUGCACCCAGAACCUGUGCUCCAACAAAGAGUAGGCCCUGCUCACCACAACUAGAGAAAGCUUCUGCAAAGCUACGAAGACCCAGCAUGGCCAAAUAAAUAAAAAAAUUAAAAAAAAAAAACCUGAGUC